UAGUCCACGCCGUAAACGAUGGAUACUAGUUGUUUGGGGAGUUAACCCCCUGAGUGACGCAGCUAACGCAUUAAGUAUCCCGCCUGGAGAGUACGGUCGCAAGGCUAAAACUCAAAGGAAUUGACGGGGGCCCGCACAAGCGGUGGAGUAUGUGGUUUAAUUCGAAGCAACGCGCAGAACCUUACCUUCCCUUGACAUCCCGGGACAACCUCAGAGAUGAGGCUUUCUCUUCGGAGACUCGGUGACAGAUGCUGCAUGGCUGUCGUCAGCUCGUGUUGUGAAAUGUUCGGUUAAGUCCGGCAACGAGCGCAACCCCUGUCCUUAGUUACCAUCAUUAAGUUGGGGACUCUAGGGAGACUGCCGGUGUUAAACCGGAGGAAGGCGGGGAUGACGUCAAGUCCUCAUGGCUCUUACGGGAAGGGCUACACACGUACUACAAUGGUAGAAACAAAGGGUUGCGAAGCCGCGAGGCCAAGCUAAUCCCUAAAACACUAUCUCAGUCCGGAUUGGAGUCUGCAACUCGACUCC
rnacentral:rRNA from 1 species